CUGCCACUUUAAAUAAGCUUCAGGUGCUUGGUCUUCUAUUCUGGGUUAUGUCUAUUAAGUACUUCAUUUCUUAGCAUUUGCUGGAUCUAAUGAAUUUCUUGAUUUCUGAACAUAACUUAAAGAUAAAUGUGCUUGUAAGUACAAUAUUUGAGAUAUGACAGUGAUUCACUUUUUUUUUUGGGUGUGUGGACUGAAUCUGGUGUUAAUUAAUAAAUAGUAAGUUUACCUCUUGAAUUAUGUUUUGGAACUACUCAUGUUGGCUUUAUCAGCUGAUCUCAUAAUCUGAUAAAAACCUACUCUUUAGACCAGGAUAGGAUUUUGGAUAGGUAUGACUGAAGCUGACCUUGGUUAGUGAUAAUACAAUACGAAUUAAAAUAUCAAAAACAGUGUAGGAGAUAAAUAUGAAUUACUAAGGUCUGCAACUCCAGUGGAUGCAAACUUAGGUAGAAUUUGAAUAACCAAGUUGGAGAGAACUUACGUAAUUAGACUUUGAGAUAGCCACUUGACUUGUUUGAUAAGAUGAUUUAAGGAGAUACAUGUGGCACCUUCUGGGUGAGGUUGUUUGCAAGUGAACACCUCAAAACUCAUGUCCAAGACUAUAGAGCCCGUAAAAUCUCAUCUUAUGUAUGGAUCUUGGAUGACCAUAGUCUUGGUCUUGAUCAUUAAGGAAAAUUAAGUCUUGGUCUUGAUCAGUAAGGAAAUUGUAAGACAAUUACCAAUGCUAUUUGAUUUCAGUAUAAAUUAAUGUUCAGAAUGCUGAAAUGGUAUUCCUAUGUGUUUUAAAAUUGAAAAUGAAAAGGAAAUAAAAAAGGAAAAAGAAAAAAAAAAAGCUAAGAGAAGUCAGAGACUGCUAGCAAAACUGGAUCUUCCACAGCUUGACCGAGCAACAGGAAGAGGAAUUCUUAUACACUAAUAUCUUUUAUAAAACCCAUGGUUGUUAGGUGAGAAAAUUUUAGAAUGCAAGAGAAUCUUCAAUGUUGUUUACUGAAAACUGCUGAGCUGACCUGGCUAACAUUUUAUGGUCCUAAAAGGAGCAAGUUGUUAGUUACUGGAAUCAUGUUCUUGGUGCACUAAAAUCAAGGUGAAUGUAUUAGUAUUUAUUGUAGAAAUUUGUACAUGAGUGAAGAACAUUAUAAUGUUAGAAUUAUUCAUCUUUGAUCAUUUGCUUCAUUGCAGUUUAUUUUUCAUUCCACAAGCUUGAUUUUAUCUCUUUGGUUUCAAUGUUCUCCAUGAAACCUGAAGACUAAUGUUGUGAAACUCUUUUAUUGAUUUACACAAGAUUUGAUUGUUAACACUUGUGCAGUUGUGCUUCAUGUGAUACAGCAUUUAAAUAAUAUUCUUCAUAUGCAGUUGGCAAGUGUGAAGAAGUCUACAAAUAAUUUCUUUCCCUGGUUUGUUAUAUUGGGGUAUUAACUAAUCUACAGACAUUUAAAACUAGCAAAUAAAUUUUGCCUCUUUGUUUAAUGUGACAGGCUAGGCGGAUAA
rnacentral:misc_RNA from 1 species